GAGCCAUUAGCUCAGCUGGCAGAGCAUCGGACUUUUAAUCAGAGGGUCGGAGGUUCGAAUCCUCCAUGGCUCA
rnacentral:tRNA from 1 species